CCUACGGGAGGCUGCAGUGGGGGAUAUUGCACAAUGGGGGGAACCCUGAUGCAGCGACGCCGCGUGUGGGAAGACGGUCCUCUGGAUUGUAAACCACUGUCCCCAGGGACGAAAAUGACGGUACCUGGGGAGGAAGCUCCGGCUAACUACGUGCCAGCAGCCGCGGUAAUACGUAGGGGGCAAGCGUUAUCCGGAUUUACUGGGUGUAAAGGGAGCGUAGACGGCUGUGCAAGUCUGGAGUGAAAGGCAUGGGCUCAACCUGUGGACUGCUUUGGAAACUGUGCGGCUUGAGUGUCGGAGAGGCAAGUGGAAUUCCUAGUGUAGCGGUGAAAUGCGUAGAUAUUAGGAGGAACACCAGUGGCGAAGGCGGCUUGCUGGACGAUGACUGACGUUGAGGCUCGAAAGCGUGGGGAGCAAACAGGAUUAGAUACCCUAGUAGUC
rnacentral:rRNA from 1 species